rnacentral:lncRNA from 1 species
AGAGUCUUCACUUACUACACAAUGAUAGCAAAUUGCGAGUGGUCUACUGUCACCAUCGAUCGUGGAGCACUUGGCUCUCCAAAGGUCACUCGAGAUGCAUCACAUCGUGAUGAGUGUCGAGCGAAGCUUGCAAAAGUAUUUUGCGCUCUCAUCUUGACCAUAAUGGUUCUUGGGAGAAUACUUUUUCUCUUGAGCCCCCCC